rnacentral:lncRNA from 1 species
AGUUCAGAAGAUGAAAGGCUUGCUGAGGCUGCAGUUUCUCAUGAUUUUAUAAUAAAACAAAGUCAUUCAACAGACAGUAACCGGAAUUGUGAACAAAAUCUGAUAGCAACUAUCUCAUCUGAAAAAGACAUCAAAGAAAUAAACAAAUUAAAUGAAAAUAGUCAAAACAAUACUGUGAAAAAGAAGAAGAAGAAGAAAAAGACAAAACAAAAGGAAGAAAUAAAAGUUUCAUAGAAUUAUAAAUACUUUUUAUGUCCUGUAUUGUUGCCUGUAAUCUCAGUAGCUUGUUGUGUGUUUGGUGGUAUAAAAGUGAGAAUGGAAAUGGGGAAUGUGUCAAAGAGACAACAACCUUACCAAAUGGCAGAAAAACACAGGGAGAAAAUCCAGCACCCAACUGGCCCCUAAACAAAACGUGUACUAGUUCAAAAUA